AUUGAACGCUGGCGGCAUGCUUUACACAUGCAAGUCGAACGGUAACAGGCCGCAAGGUGCUGACGAGUGGCGAACGGGUGAGUAAUGCAUCGGAACGUGCCCAGUCGUGGGGGAUAACGCAGCGAAAGCUGCGCUAAUACCGCAUACGAUCUAUGGAUGAAAGCGGGGGACCGUAAGGCCUCGCGCGAUUGGAGCGGCCGAUGUCAGAUUAGGUAGUUGGUGGGGUAAAGGCUCACCAAGCCGACGAUCUGUAGCUGGUCUGAGAGGACGACCAGCCACACUGGGACUGAGACACGGCCCAGACUCCUACGGGAGGCAGCAGUGGGGAAUUUUGGACAAUGGGCGCAAGCCUGAUCCAGCAAUGCCGCGUGCAGGAAGAAGGCCUUCGGGUUGUAAACUGCUUUUGUACGGAACGAAAAGGCUCUGGUUAAUACCUGGGGCUCAUGACGGUACCGUAAGAAUAAGCACCGGCUGACUACGUGCCAGCCGCCGCCGUAAUAC
rnacentral:rRNA from 1 species